rnacentral:rRNA from 1 species
UACGGAAGGCAGCAGUGGGGAAUAUUGCACAAUGGGCGCAAGCCUGAUGCAGCCAUGCCGCGUGUAUGAAGAAGGCCUUCGGGUUGUAAAGUACUUUCAGUCGUGAGGAAGGUGUUAAGGUUAAUAACCUUAGCAAUUGACGUUAGCGACAGAAGAAGCACCGGCUAACUCCGUGCCAGCAGCCGCGGUAAUACGGAGGGUGCGAGCGUUAAUCGGAAUUACUGGGCGUAAAGGGCACGCAGGCGGUUAAUUAAGUUGGAUGUGAAAUCCCCGGGCUUAACCUGGGAAUGGCAUUCAAGACUGGUUAGCUAGAGUCUUGUAGAGGGGGUAGAAUUCCGAUGUGUAGCGGUGAAAUGCGUAGAGAUGUGGAGGAAUACCGGUGGCGAAGGCGGCCCCUGGACAAAGACUGACGCUCAUGUGCGAAAGCGUGGGGAGCAAACG